UGAAUCAGGCCACUGCCAUCUCAUGCCUGCGUUGCACUGAGGACCUCCAGUCUGGAAGCUCAUUUUCCAUAUCUUUACAAAGCAGAUCUAUCACUCUGAACUGUUGUCUCGACCCGAGUUUUGAUAGGUAUUGUGCUGGGAUCUGACCAUUCAAAAUACAAUCACUGGAAUCUGAAGAAGUAUUCUGUGGGAGUGAAUGGAAAUAUAUAUGACUUUUAAAUGGGCAAAGAUAUUAGUGAACUUCUAGGUGCUGAGGAAACAACAAAGAGCAAAGCAAAGUCCCUGUCCCCCAGGAGUUCGCGUUUUAACGGGGAAGAAAAAUAAGCAAGUGAAAUGGACGACUGUGAGAAGACGGAGCAGGGAGAUGUUACUAUUGCUUGUAGGGUGGUCACAGAAUGCCUGCAAAAACAACCCUUUUGAAGAAUUGGGAAAAAAAUAAAAACCAUUUGGCUGAAA
rnacentral:lncRNA from 10 species